CAGCCGCCGCGGUAAAACCAGCACCUCAAGUGGUCAGGAUGAUUAUUGGGCAUAAAGCAUCCGUAGCCUGCUUUGUUAGUUUUCGGUUAAAUCCAUACGCUCAACGUAUGGGCUGCCGGGAAUACUGCAAAGCUAGGGAGUGGGAGAGGUAGACGGUACUCGGUAGGAAGGGGUAAAAUCCUUUGAUCUAUUGAUGACCACCUGUGGCGAAGGCGGUCUACCAGAACACGUCCGACGGUGAGGGAUGAAAGCUGGGGGAGCAAACCGGAUUAGAUACCCGGGUAGUCCCAGCUGUAAACUAUGCAAACUCAGUGAUGCAUUGGCUUGAUGCCAAUGCAGUGCUGCAGGGAAGCCGUUAAGUUUGCCGCCUGGGAAGUACGUACGCAAGUAUAAAACUUAAAGGAAUUGGCGGGGGAGCAC
rnacentral:rRNA from 2 species